rnacentral:misc_RNA from 1 species
AGUAUGAGAAAGAUAAAUCAAUCUUCCAACCAAUUUCUAAUAUCUUCCUAUGUCAACUGGUUCCCCAACUUUUGCUUGCAGCUUUUGAUUCUCUUCAAUAGGAGAUUCUGCUAGUUUACAACCCAAUAUGUUAGUCUCAUCUAGGAGAUCCAAUGUGUACUUCUUUUGAGAAACAAAAAUUUCUCUGUUUGAUCUAGCGACUUCUAUUCCAAUGAAGUACUUUAACUUACCCAAGUCUUUAAUCUCAAAUU